AAAUAAUAGUGACGUCAAGGAAAUUCAAACGAUUGUCGGCACCUUCCUCCAUAGUAAACUGCAAUCUUGUGUGGAACGACAGUUGAAAGUGUCCAGAAUGGUACUAGCAUUGAGGAGGGAGCCGCUAACACAACGUUGUCAACAUAUCUAAAAUAAAAUGGGAGAUCCACAGGAAGAGUCGCGAUGGCCCUUGACUCCAAAUCUUGGAGCGUGAUCUCAGCAAUAAUCGGCGAAAGAGGAGAGCCCAUGGUGCCGAAUGUUUGCUGAUAGCAAACACCGUUGAACAUAAAAAAUGUAGAGUUUAAAACGAGGCAAACUGCCGUUAAAAAUUCAUCGCGAGGUAUCCGACAAUUCUUUCCAAUAUAAUCCCAUCUAUUCAACAGACUAUCAAUCUCCAAGUUGAAUCUCCAUAGUGACACCGUAAAAUUGAAUACUUCGUGUUUAUCGAUUAUUGAAAUCAUGUCUAAAAUUUAAUAGUUUGUUGUUUGUUAGGACUGUUCUUUUCCUCAGUGUAUACGGAUUGUUUUUGUUGAUCACACUAUGACGUCAUCAUUAGCAUUCGAAUCUUUUUGCUUAGUCGGCUAUGUGCGUGCUGAUUAUUCGUCUUCGUUUCUGUUUCGUCUUCUCGAGUCCGAUGUAUCACUCUUUGGGCCUUGCACCGCUUAAAGGGCUACUUGUAUUUGGUUUCCUUCGAGUCCACUUGCCUUGACGAGUUCACGUUCACUCUCUAAGACUUUGCACAAUCACUGAAGAAGGCUCGAACUGAGUCCGAAACGUUUGAGGUCAAUAAAGAAGAAAGAUCGUUUAAUGUGAUCGUUUCAUGGAUUAUUUUUUUCUUCAAAAACACGCCUUACAACUGC